UGAAAGGACGACCUUCGGGAGCCUAUACAGGUGUUGCAUGGCUGUCGUCAGCUCGUGUCGUGAGAUGUUCGGUUAAGUCCGCUAACGAGCGCAACCCUCGUCGUAUGUUAUAUGUGUCAUACGAGACUGCCGGUAAAAAGCCGGAGGAAGGUGAGGAUGAUGUCAAGUCAGCAUGACCUUUAUAUCCAGGGCUACACACACGCUACAAUGGUCUGUACAAUGGGUAGCCAAGCCGCGAGGCGGAGCCAAUCCUGAAAGCAGGCCUCAGUUCAGAUUGCAGUCUGCAACUCGACUGCAUGAAGCCGGAGUUGCUAGUAACCGCAGGUCAGCAAUACUGCGGUGAAUACGUUCCCGGGUCUU
rnacentral:rRNA from 1 species